rnacentral:rRNA from 1 species
GAGGGCCUACGGGGGGCAGCAGUGGGGAAUAUUGCACAAUGGGCGAAAGCCUGAUGCAGCAACGCCGCGUGAAGGAAGACGGUUUUCGGAUUGUAAACUUCUGUUCUUAGUGAAGAAUAAUGACGGUAACUAAGGAGCAAGCCACGGCUAACUACGUGCCAGCAGCCGCGGUAAUACGUAGGGAGCGAGCGUUAUCCGGAAUUAUUGGGCGUAAAGGGUGCGUAGAUGGCAUAGUAAGUCUUUUGUAAAAAUGCUGGGCUCAACCCAGUAGGGCAAAAGAUAC